rnacentral:rRNA from 1 species
CCCCAAAAUACGGAGGAUAAGACUGCUAGUCAAGCGCUCUCCAGCCAAAGGAGAGUGCGGCGUACAGCUCAGUACCACUUGGCUAACCUGCCCUUGGGACAGAGACAACCCCGGGAAACUGGGGCUAAUCCUUGAUAGGCGAAGAACUCUGGAAUGAGUCUCCACCUAAAAGACGUUUGCGCUAUGCUCGUAGGCGUCGCCCAAGGAUGGGGCCGCGACCGAUCAGGUUGUUGGUGAGGUAACGGCUCACCAAGCCAUUUACCGGUACGGGCCGUGAGAGCGGGAGCCCGGAGAUGGGCACUGAGACAAGGGCCCAGGCCCUACGGGGCGCAGCAGUCGCGCAAACUUUGCAAUACACGAAAGUGUGACAGGGCUAUCCCGAGUGCCGCCCGCUGAGGGUGGCUUUUACUCAGUCUAGCAAGCUGGGAGAAUAAGGAGAGGGCAAGUCUGGUGUCAGCCGCCGCGGUAAUACCAGCUCUCCGAGUGGUGUGGAUGUUUAUUGGGCCUAAAGCAUCCGUAGCUUGCUGCUCAAGUCCCCUGUUAAACCCAGCGAAUUAAUCGUUGGAUUGCGGGGGAUACUGUGCGGCUAGGGGGCGGGAGAGGCAGACGGUAUUUUCGGGGUAGGGGUGAAAUCCUAUAAUCCCGGGAAGACCACCAGUGGCGAAGGCUGUCUGCUAGAACGCGCCCGACGGUGAGGGAUGAAAGCUGGGGGAGCGAACCGGAUUAGAUACCCGGGUAGUCCCAGCUGUAAACUAUGCAGGCUAGGUGUUUGGGCGGCCACGUGCCGCUCUAGUGCCGCAGGGAAGCUGUUAAGCCUGCCGCCUGGGGAGUACGGUCGCAAGAUUGAAAC